AUGAAGGACUCCACGGAUGAACAGAACGGCGAGGGAGCUGCAAGAGUAAAACAAGGCCAUAGGCAUCCUAGGAAGAAGCAAGUUCAGGAAGGUAGAAACAGAGCAUCGCCAACAAGGCUAGUAAAGUUAAACAAGAGCUUGGAUCAACGGCAGAAGGAUCUGAUAGAAACUUACCAUCUGGGAGGCAUACUGAAGAUCGAAGCAACAACACUACCCGCAGACCUCAGCAGGUGGGUAAUGCAGAUCUACGACCCAGCUAGCGAGUGCAUCGUUGUCCCAGGCAGGGGCGAGAUCCCCGUAACAGCCGAAAGCGUCCACCACACCUUGGGUCUUCGUAAUUCAGGGGAGGAAGUGUUCUACGGGUGGGAUGCAGAAGCAAUAUCUUUCAUAAACAACAGGUUCGAUUUUCAGAAUGGGUGCGCCCCCGAGAUAACAACCGUCUGCACCAUGAUAAAAGAGAUGAACGAGAGAGCAGAUGACGACUUCAUGAGGGCCUGGCUGAUUGUGGUAGUUUGCACCUUCAUGUGCCCUACAACGAGCUUGCAUGUAAGCGCUCGAUGCUAUCCAAUAGUCGCCGACCUAGAGAAAAUGAAGAGGCUCAACUUCUCUGCAUUCAUAGCGAAUCAGAUAAAAGCUUCAUUAUGGGGUAGCAACAAGAAGAAGGCCGUAAACUGCUGUGUGCACCACAUGGUGGUGUUAUAUGUAGAUUCUCUGGUGGUAGACUUUGCAGUACCAGAUUUCCCAGUCCGGGUAGAGGCAUGGGACAAUAAACGUAUAGGACUAGUCGCAAAGGCAGACAAAAACCCUCAAGGAGGAUACGGCAAGCUUAGGAUGAAGCCAAGAUACACAAGCAACGGGCGUACGAACAGCCUUUUUGUUGGGUAUGAGGAGACCGAGAAGUUUGUUUUCUCAAAGUUGCCACCCACAUUCAAAAAAGUAAGAAGAGGAAAAUUGCUGCAAUGGUUAGCUCAUUGUGCUCAGAAUGGUCGGAUAGAAUUGGUAUAUUCAUUGAAGAGAUCGGCAGUCUGGAUAGGGAGGAUGACAGGGACUCUAGGAGCAACUCACACAGGACAAAGCGUCGCAGGGCUGCACACGUUCCAGGCAUAA
rnacentral:rRNA from 1 species